GACGAACGCUGGCGGCGUGCUUAACACAUGCAAGUCGAACGGAAAGGCCCUGCUUGCAGGGUACGCGAGUGGCGAACGGGUGAGUAACACGUGGGUGAUCUGCCCUGCACUUCGGGAUAAGCCUGGGAAACUGGGUCUAAUACCGGAUAUGAGCCAUUUUGAGUGAGAUGGUUGGAAAGUUUUUUCGGUGUAGGGUGAGCUCGCGGCCUAUCAGCUUGUUGGUGGGGUAAUGGCCUACCAAGGCGGCGACGGGUAGCCGGCCUGAGAGGGUGGACGGCCACAUUGGGACUGGGAUACGGACCAGACUCCUACGGGAGGCAGCAGUGGGGAAUAUUGCACAAUGGGCGCAAGCCUGAUGCAGCGACGCCGCGUGGGGGAUGACGGCCUUUGGGUUGUAAACUCCUUUCGCUAGGGACGAAGCUGUUUGUGACGGUACCUAGAUAAGAAGCACCGGCUAACUACGUG
rnacentral:rRNA from 1 species